rnacentral:rRNA from 1 species
UACGAAGGGGGCUAGCGUUGUUCGGAAUCACUGGGCGUAAAGGGCGUGUAGGCGGUCAGGCAAGUGAGAUGUGAAACGCCCCGGCUCACCCGGGGACCUGCAUCUCAAACUGCCUGGCUUGAGUAUGGGAGAGGAUGAGGGAAUUCCUGGUGUAGCGGUGAAAUGCGUAGAUAUCAGGAGGAACACCGGUGGCGAAAGCGCUCAUCUGGCCCAAUACUGACGCUGAGGCGCGAAAGCUAGGGGAGCAAACGGG